GCCGCCCGGGCUUCUCGGCGCGCGUUCGUCGCGCUGACAGUCCCGUCCGCUGCUUGUCCUCGAGUCCUGGGGUGUGAGGAAGCGAAAAGGGACUGGACGAGCGGUGGGCUACCUCUUCGGUGAGGCAGAAGUCCGGCCUGGGGUGCGAAGGGCGCUGACGUUUGGGGGCACCUUACAGUGUCGCUCUGGGCUUCCGAGUUUCUCCCUCCGCUGGCUGGCUUCCUCAGCUAAAGAGCAAGGGAUGUGCCCGGUAACCACAAAAUGGAUUUGGGAGCCCAGUAGACCCACUGUGAGAAGGAAUUGUGUGAAAACACCAUGGAUCACAUGACUUCGUUCCACCCGAAAGUGCCUACACUAAAUGCAGUUGAAGUACCAGAACUGCCUAGGAUACUGUAUCGAGGAAGAUAUCUAAAGACUUGGGAAGAUGGGGACCCUAGAGUGGAUUUAUCAUGUAAGACCUUCUCACCCACCUCAGGAUAAUCCAGAAGACGUUACCCUUCACCAUGACAGUGAGAAAUAAUUUGUGAAGUGAGCCCCAGCAUCUUAAAGAGAUCUGCAACUGCUGCUCUUGUCUGUUCAGACGUAUCCUUCAAUGAAAACUGUUAGCAUCAAACAGGGAUUCCUACAUGCAGUGGGGAUAAUGGGACCUCAGGGUGGUAGGUGGGGACCAGUGUGGUUACUGUAGUGGACGACUGAGCAAAGCAGUAAUUAGGAUUGUCUGACUCCAGAGACUUGUAGUGUUGGCUGAUCGAUCAUGGUAUCCCUAGAAAAGAAAUAAAUGGAUGAUUGCCAGUUCUUCUUUAUAGACAGAAAAUGUCUAGGUCUAUGAACCUAGAAAUCCAAACUUGCAUCGCUGAAACAUAAAAUCACAGCCCCUCAAUCAAUUCUCAGACUUGAGCCAAUUUACGUUUCCAGAACUCUUUGAUUGAAGGGGAGGCCAGGUCUUCUUGAGAAAGGACUCUACUUCAUUGUCCGAAGUGUACAGUAUUAAUUUUUUCCCAGCCUUCCCAAAAAGAUCCUAUAACCAUCCAGUAGAGUGACUGUGCAUUGGUGCAAAGGAAAUAACCAGACUUUGGGGGGAUUUGUAGACAAUGUCUAUGACCUAGAAGUAAUUUGUGGAAACCCAAAACAUCACUGUGUCUACCCAUCAGAGUAGGGACUUGUGAAGGUCAAGUGAUCAGUGGAAUUUUAGUUCAAGUUCAUCUUAAAUUAGCCCCACCAAGUCUCCGAACACAUCCUGUGCUUAUUUCCCCAGUUCCAGAAUGCAUUUAAAAAAAAAAAAAAAAAGACAUUCAGCAGCUGGCAGAAUCCCCACUUUGGUCCCCUGACCUGGAGAGUGAAGGCUGUUACUAUAAGAAUGGACAAAUGGAAGCCAUUAGAACUGUUUCUACCUGUAAACAAUAUCACAUUUAUGGAGGGCUUGAAAGUUGCAAGCUUUGUGAUACCCACCACAUCCCUCUGCAGCCCACCUAUUUGUCAAGUGCAGAAUACAGAUGGCAUCUUCGAGAAUGACAGUGGGUUCCUGUAAAUCUGAUUAUGUGAUAAUUCCAGUUGCACUGCUAUUCCAGAUGUGGUUUCAUUCCUAGUACCAGGUAUGCAGCUAUUGAUCUGAUCAUUGCUUUUUUCCGUUAUAUGUGUUGAAAAGAUGACUAGAAGGAAUCAGCUGGCAAGGCUAGCAACACACCUUCACUGUCCUACCACAGGCUAUAUCAUCUCUUCAGCCUUGUGACAUGAGUUAGUCUGAAGGGAUCUCCUUCCCUUCCCCUACCUCUUCCACAUCCACGAACAUCAUGCUGGUCCAUCACAUUAAUGUUGAUAUGCUGAUUGGUCCUGGUAGGCAGGAAGUAGCAAUUACUAUAUACAUGUUGGUAAGAAAUUUGUGUGUCAGAGGAUAGGAAAUAAGUCCCCCCCAAAUCCAGAGGCUUUCUAUCUCAGUGAAAUUUCUAGUGAUCCAGGGGAGUGAGGUAUAUUAAAAUAUCUAACAUGAAGGAUAAGUUGUUAUAUCUGGCCUCUCCUACUAUUUAAAAAAAAAAAAUGCAUAAGACCUAGAGAGAGAAGUCUCUGCAGCAGGUCCAGGUUGUUGUAUAAGUUGCUCUGCUUCUUGGAUAGUAAGAUUCAGUAGGUCCAAUGUUACUUGAAGUGGUAAGUAGAGAUGAUUUUGGAGUCUUUGACAAAUACCUAUGUAAAUGAAUCAAUGCAGACCCUUAGGAUUUUGGAGCAAAGCCCUGCCAUCCUCUUAUCAUCAAAAGAAGAUAAUGAAUCUCCUUUUGAGAAACAGCUUUUGGCUUGUUAAUGGGCCGUGUAACCUGAGCUCAGUAAUAAAUCAUGUUGCUGAUAUAUAACCUUGAUAUGAUUGGAUGAAAAUGGCACCACACCUCUGUGAUCUUCCAAAAAUUCACAGCCGCAGUCUAAUUAUGAGAAGAACACUAGACAAAUUACACAUUGCAUUAGAGGGGCAUCCUAAAAAUUACUUGACCAGUAGUCUUCAAAACAGUCAAGAGGAGCCUAAGGAGACACAGCAACUGAAUGUAAUGUGGUAUUCUGGAUGGGAUCCUGGAACAGAAAAAGACAUUAGGUUAAACAAAGGAUGUCUGAAUAAACUGUGGACUUUAGUGACUAAUAAUGGAUCAGUAUUGGUUCAUUAAGUGUAAUAAAUAAACCAUACUAAUGUAAGAUGUUAGUAAUAGGAUGAGAACAGGGUAUAUAGGCACUCAGUACUAUCUUAUCUGUCACUCUAUAAAUCUAAAACUAUUCCCCCAUCUGUUAUAUUAGAAAAAAAUGAAACUCAAAUCACCAUGUCAUGCAAUUAUAAAUCAAGACUUUCCAAAAUAAGGAAGAAUGUCUAAUCAUACUGUCCUUAUUUUGUACUUCAAAAGAAAGGUUUAAAUGUAAAUGUUAAUUAUUUCAUCUGUAAUCCUUUAAAAAUCUACUGUGUCUAUGUUUUAUAGUUUGCCUAACAUAGAGGUAUGUGUGUAUUUUUAAUGUGUAUAUGCAUAUUGGGAAUGUCCAAAUUUUUUAUCAGCAUAUAGAACUAAAUUAUCAGAGAACAAAUGUGUGAAAUAAAAACUAAAUCAGAGGUUCUUAGAGGAAGCUGUGAGAAGUAGGCCCAUGAACUAUGAUAUAAUUACACUUAACUUACUGUUACAUCAAGAUGAAUAAAUAAUAACAAAUUCUAUAAGCCUAAGUAAAAGCCUAUAAUAACAUUGCUAGAGACAAUUACAGAUAGUUUACCUCUUCCUCUUAGAGUCAAACAUUCCUAAAUUAUAUAACUAAUAAAAGUAAAAUUGUGGUAUAAUUUGUAAAUGCUUAGACUUGGUAAAAUAUUUUGAACCAUCUCAAACUAGUAUACUUACUUCUUCAGUGGUCUUGCCUACAAUAGUUAAUGCAUGAAAGAUUCUAUGAUCCUUUCCUUUGAACAUUUCAGCCCUUACUUAGAGUAAAUGCUCAUGAAGAAUACUACUGAGCUGUUAGUGUUGGUUGGUUGGAUUGAUUGUUUUUUUUUUUUAAUUCUCUGUAAGGAACUUAGUACAAUUUAUAUGCAUAUAUACCCUUUCAAUACCAUAAACUCCUAUUUUACAGCAAGGUCAAAACAUAUUUUUACCUUAUGGAAUUUCCCAAUGUCACAGCAAUAAGAAAUAGACUUCAAGGGUAUUCUGUACAUCGGUUCCUAAAGUCGUCACAGGAAAGGUACUUUUUAGCUUAUUCUUGUUUCAUAGGUUUAUGCACUGUACUCAAGCUUGGAAGGAAGUGUUGCUAGUUUCACUUAGAAAUUAACUACUGUAAGAAUACCUGAGUAUUUAUUUCAAGGACCCCUGUUUUUAGCAUGUUUCCUGAUUGUGGAAUGCUCAUUGUUUUUUUAUCAGGAUUUUGUUGUGGGGGCUACUGUGUCUUCGUAGUUCUGAGACUAGAAGAAAUAACUUUAUGGGGAAAUAGUCCAUUAAAAAAUACCUUGCAGUAGUAAUAGUUUACCUGGAAACCCCCAAAAUUGUCCCCAAGAGUUUUUCUUGGGAGAAGUAUGAAAUUCAGUCAUAAUGAAAUUUUGUCAUGAAAUUGAAACCAUUUCAUAUAUAAGGAGAUGACAGAGAAUGAUGUUAUACAAAGACUUGGAAUUCUGGAAAAGUAUUAAACCAGUCUUAUGCCUCCAGCUAAAGAGAAUUUCAUCCUAAAAAAAUAAUUCAGGCAUAUGAUAAUUUUUUUGAAGAGCCGUAAAAUAGAAUUCCAUGCCCUUAGUACCUGCUAUGGACUGAAUAUGCCCCCCCCAUGCAUAUGUUGAAGCCCUAGCCCUCAGUAUGACUUAUAUUUGGUGAUAUUAACUGAAUAUUUGUGUCCUCCUAAAAUUCAUGUGUUGAAACCCUAUUCUCCAAGGGGAUGGUAUUAGGAGGUGGGGCCAUUAGGAGGUAAUUAGGAUCAAAUGAUCAGGAGGGUGGAACCCUCAUGAAUGAGAUUAAUGCUUUUAUGAGAAUCACGAGAGUAUCCAGUCUUUCACUUAGGUCUUUAAUCCAUCUUGAAUUUAUUUUUAAUAUGGUGUUAGAGAGUGUUCUAAUUUCAUUCUUUGAUAUGGAGCUGUCUGGUUCUUAUAGCACUAUUUAUUGAAGAAAUUGUCUUUUCUCCAUUCUAUAUAUUCUCAUAUCCUUUGUUGUAGAUUAAUUGACCAUAAGUGCAUAGGUUUAUUUCUGGGUUUUUAUCCUAUUCUCUUGAUCUCUGUGUCUGGUUUUGUGCCAGUACCAUACUGUUUUGAUGACUAUUGCUUUGUAGUAUAAUCUGAAGCCAGGGAGCUUUAUUUGUCUUUCUCAAGAUUGUUUUAGUUAUUUGGGUUCUUUUGUAUUUCCAUACAAAUCUAGAAAAUUUUGUUCUAGUUCUGUGAAAAAUACCAUUGCUAAUUUGAUACGGUUAGCAUUGACUCUGUAGAUCACCUUAGGUAGUAUUGUCAUUUUAACAAUGCUGAUGUUUUAAAUCC
rnacentral:lncRNA from 1 species